GGGCAAGAACCCCUUUCAUUGAUUACUUGAAACCUAUCAUUGCUGAUGGUGACACUGGAUUUGGUGGUGCAACUGCUACUGUUAAGCUGUGUAAGCUUUUCGUGGAGCGCGGUGCUGCUGGUGUCCACAUUGAGGAUCAGUCCUCUGUUACUAAGAAAUGUGGUCAUAUGGCUGGUAAAGUUCUUGUUGCUGUAAGUGAACAUAUUAACAGGCUUGUGGCUGCAAGGUUGCAGUUUGAUGUCAUGGGGACUGAGACAGUCCUCGUGGCUCGUACUGAUGCGGUUGCAGCCACAUUGAUCCAAACCAAUGUGGAUACAAGGGAUCAUCAGUUCAUUUUGGGUGCUUCCAACCCGAAUCUCAAGGGCAAGGGUUUGGCUACUCUUUUGUCUGAAGCUAUGGCUGCAGGCAAAACAGGGCCGGAACUUCAAGCCAUUGAGGAUAACUGGCUUGGAAUGGCUGAACUCAAGACAUUUUCUCAAUGUGUCACUGAUGCAAUCAAGAAAAUGAACCUCGCGGAGUAUGAGAAGCAGAGGAAGUUGAACGAAUGGAUGAAUCAUUCGAGCUAUGAGAAAUGUCUUUCGCACGAACAAGCUAGGGAGGUAGCUGAAAGACUUGGCCUUCCUAAUCUCUUUUGGGACUGGGACUUGCCUAGAACCAGAGAAGGGUUCUACAGGUUUCAGGGCUCAGUAGAGGCUGCAAUUGUUCGCGGAUGGGCUUUUGCCGAGUACUGUGAUCUAGUCUGGAUGGAGACAUCAAGUCCUGAUAUGGUGGAAUGCACAAAAUUUUCUCAAGGAGUUAAGACUCUAAGGCCUGAGCUGAUGUUGGCUUACAAUCUGUCUCCCUCAUUCAAUUGGGAUGCAUCAGGGAUGAAUGAUAACCAAAUGAUGGAUUUCAUUCCAAGAAUAGCCAAAUUAGGCUAUUGCUGGCAGUUCAUUACUUUAGCUGGUUUCCAUGCUGAUGCACUCAUCGUCGACACGUUUGCCAAGGAUUUCGCCAGGAGGGGAAUGUUGGCCUAUGUGGAGAAAAUACAAAGAGAGGAGAGGACCAAUGGUGUUGAUACAUUGGCUCAUCAGAAAUGGUCUGGGGCUAAUUACUAUGAUAGAGUUCUAAGGACUGUCCAGGGAGGCAUCACUUCAACUGCUGCUAUGGGAAAAGGUGUAACUGAGGAGCAAUUUGAGGAAAAAUGGACAAGGACUGGGGCAACAAACUUAGGUGAUGGAAGUGUGGUGAUUGCAAAGGCAAGGAUGUAAGAAAAUCAACAACAACAAACAAAAAAAAAAGUGAUUUCUUUUGGAGUGUGAAGAUUUGUGGAGCUUUGGAACUAUCUCAAUUUUUAGGUUGUGAACUUCAAGUACAAUAAAAGAUGUUUUUUAAGCAUUUUAAAUAAUUCUUCAGGGAUUUGAAUCAUUUUGGGCAUUAUUUUGACCUUCAAAUUGCCUACUAGUGUGAUCAUUUGUAUCUUUAUCUAUAUUUGGACUUCCAACUUGUGCUAAAGUU
rnacentral:misc_RNA from 1 species